UUCGCAGUAGCUCAGUUGGUAGAGUGCCGGCCUGUUAAACCGGAUGCCGGGGGUUCGAGUCCUCCCUGCGGAGCCA
rnacentral:tRNA from 1 species